UAAAUGGAAGAACACAGAAUCAAAUAUCAAACUCACAACUCAGAUUUCAGACCACAGUACUUUCGUCACACUCAGGUUCAACAAGAUGAAGGUCUUGACAGCAGGUUUGUUGCACACAGAAGUCUUGGCGGCACAUCGUACUUGCACUUUGUCCCCAAUCUCGUCGCAGUUCAUGUGUGCAACCAUGACAUGAAUUUUAUGCAUGAGGGUGCAAAAUCAGCAUUCAUCUCAGAAUGACACGGCUGUAUAUGAAGGAGAAGGGCCCUGGAAUACAUGUUCUAGAAUAGCAUACAUCUAAGCUUGUACUAUAAAUACAUGUUCCAUAAAUAAUAUAAACCAAAAUUGAAGAUAAAUACUCAUCCAAAAAUGCAAAAUCAGUAAUUAUAAAGAUCCAAGCUUGUACCUGUUGUGUACAAUUCAAGUCUUUGGAAUCACAAAGUCAAAGUUUCACUUAAACCAGCACUGUCCCAAUUCACUUUCUAUAGUAGCGAAAAGUUUCUCCGUAAUUCCAUUAUUAAUUCCUGAUAUAAAACCUACCAAAGUUGUUGUAUUAAAAUUUACCAGAUCACUCCACCAAAAUGAUUCUUUGACUCAAGUUUCCUACAAGUAUUAAAGAUCUAUUCCAUAAGACAUAUGUAAAUAGACAUACUAACCAUCUCUAACUGGGACAGCAAUAUAAGUGUCAUGCUUGUGCUUGUUGUGUGUACAACUCCACAGUCUAAAGAAACACCUUAAUUGACAAUAAUUGACUUUAUUAUAUGGCUGGAGCAAGUGUAGUACAAUUUGUAAACUCCUAACCCAACAAUAUUUCCAAGACAACCGUAACAAAUAUAUUCAUUCACUUCCCCACAAAUUUCAAACUCACCAAUAUCCCAAUCUUUGAAGUAUGAACACACUUAACAAAAGAAAUAACAAUAACAAAAUAACCAUCUUACCUAGUUUCAAUCUUACGAUAGACCUUUUGCGAUAAUUUCACGUAGAAGUUUCUCUGCCUUAUCAUUUUCACCUUUAUUAAACA
rnacentral:lncRNA from 1 species